UCUACGGGGGGCAGCAGUGGGGAAUAUUGCACAAUGGGGGAAACCCUGAUGCAGCGACGCCGCGUGAGUGAAGAAGUAAUUCGUUAUGUAAAGCUCUAUCAGCAGGGAAGAAAAUGACGGUACCUGAGUAAGAAGCCCCGGCUAACUACGUGCCAGCAGCCGCGGUAAUACGUAGGGGGCGAGCGUUAUCCGGAUUCAUUGGGCGUAAAGCGCGCGGAGGCGGCCGCCUAAGCGGAACCGCUAACCCCGGGGCUCAACCUCGGGCCGGGUUCCGGACUGGGCGGGUCGAGUGCGGUAGAGGAGAGCGGAAUUCCUUGUGUAGCGGUGAAAUGCGUAGAUAUAAGGAAGAACACCAGUGGCGAAGGCGGAUGACUGGACGGCAACUGACGGUGAGGCGCGAAAGCGUGGGGAGCAAACAGGAUUAGAUACCCGAGUAGUC
rnacentral:rRNA from 1 species